UGGAGUGUGCUCGGUCGGACAUCUACUUCAGACCUAUUGUCGAUAGAUGCCAGGAGAUUUCUCACUGUUUUCCUGACGUUGCCGUUCUGCCUCGUUUGUUUCCUUGGGUCAGAAUCAUUGUAGGAUGCGUUCUGUCAAAUAUUACGAGGGCUUGCAAGUUAAUUUGAUGUUAUUUGAGCGUGUGUUGAAUUUAUGUGUGUAACUUUUCCCUUGUGUGGAGGACGUAAAGUAGGCGUGCUUGCAAGCUGAUAGACCAGUGUGCAUGGUGGACAUAACUCAUCAGGUGGUUGGGAUGAACCAGACACAUGGUAGUAGCCUCAGUUUUUGACUUGCUUGACGAAUCUUGUAGAUGGGACACAUGCCUUUGCAAGAUAAUUUAUAUAAACUAUACAGAGACAAGAUACCCUUGCUAGAAGCAACUUGGAUAAUUCCUAUAUUUAAUUUAAGUGCUGAAGAAUUUCAAACAGAAAAUCAUUCAGUAUUUCAGCAAAUUUAGGAAGCAAAUUAUGAAAAUAAUUUUACAUUAUGGGAGGUGAGUUAACAAUCCCUUAGUCAUGCAAGUUUAUGUUCAAGAUGAUAAAUUAUUCUUUAACAUUUUAUGUGAACGCAUCACAUCAUACCCCUGGUUGUAUGAUACUUACUUUCUGGGUGCACAAUGUGCAGCUGUAAGUACAAAGUACUUGCUGAUGAGAGAGCCACCACACUUCCAGUCAAUGUUUCCAUUUUCAUAAUAACCUAAUGCAGCCUGUAAUCAUAUUAUAAAUAAAGAUAAUUAUUCAUUACAGUUAAGUACAAUGUAUGACCUGGCUUUCUCAGGAUUCAGGGGUUGAGCUCAAUAUUAACCUAGCACUGAAGAAAUUCUAGAUCUAAAGCCCAAUACUGCAUCUAUGGAUGUAGUUUUGCUAAUAUGAAAGAUUUAAGAGGUUUGGGGUGCUUAUUAAUUAAUCUGCCUUCUCUGGACUCUGGUAGAGUGUGGCCAGAUUUGAUGCUAAAAGUUUAUUCAGAAUAAUUUUAAAGGUAAAGUUAAAUUAAAUGAGGACUGAUGAAGUCCAGUCUUGACUUUAAAUUAUGUUUGAAAAUUUGCCAUUCACUGAAUUAUAUUUUUAAAAAACAUCUCAUGUAUGUCUCAAAAUGUGUUGUUUCUUGCAGUAUGUGUGUGCUUGAAACUCAAAAGUCAGACACUGAGAAUUGUGUUAACGUCUCAUUACCAUAUGAGGAAACUCUUUGAGCUUUGUUUCUUCACCGCCCACAAUUAAUUGCACACUGGUGAAGUCACACUUUGGUAUCUCAACAUGUAUAGGCUCAGGGGCAGGCACUAGAGGCAGAGCUGCAAUCGUAGACGUCACCGGCCUUGAAUAUUCAUUACAUUCUGAAACAGAAUGGAUACUAAAUUUCAGUAUGUAUGAGAGUUUAUGUGUAACUUAAUUAUUAAUUCCAUAUCUACUAAUUUAAAAUACACUAUUAGCCUUAGAAUCAUAUUUAAAUAUCAAAAGUAUGAAGUCAGUAAAUCAGGCAUUUAGAAAAGUAAUUAGAUAUCCAUAGUUGUACUGAAAGAUUAAUUUCACAGAACAAAAGUAAUUUAUGGGCUAUAUAUCCAUACUUCAACAAAGGUGUAAAAUCUGUUACUACAAUUUUAAAAAAUACUACUAUGAUAGUACUAUACUGUAACAGUAAUAUUCCUAAUAAGGAGGAUACAUUUCUAGAAAAUUGUACACACACAAAAGUAAUUUCAGCAGGGAAAACCAUAAAGAUCUAAAUGAGAAAAGUAUUUUUUUCAGGAGAAAAUGAGUUGAAAGAAAUGUUAUUGAAGUUAAUGUGUUUAAUACUGUAAAUAAUCACUCUUUCAAGAUUAACAUUGAGAUUUAAACUAUAACAUGAAAAAUUAUCUGUAUUAGGGUUGUAUAAUAAGCAAUGCAGAAUUUAAAUCAAGAAGGAUAAUUAAAGGAGAAUUUCACUUAGUUUAAAAGAAUCAGUGAGCAAAAAUAACAAGUAUUACUGCAUUAUACAGUGCAACCCUUAUGAUGGUGAAGUCAUUUUCCCUCACCUUUUCCACUAGAGAUAUAUACUGAAAAUCUUUCAGAAUAUUUGACCUUGAGUUUUGGUGAAUUUAGACUCCUGAAUGCAGAGCAGACAUGCUAAAUGUAAGUCAAUGAAGUUGAAUCAUCAGAGCAAACAAAAAUAUUUGCCUGUUCCCUUUAUACAAUAAAGUUUGAAUACAGUAAAUGA